rnacentral:rRNA from 1 species
AUUGAACGCUAACGGCGCGCUUAACACAUGCAAGUCGAACGGCAGCGGGGGAGAAGCUUGCUUUUCCUGCCGGCGAGUGGCGAACGGGUGAGUAAUACAUCGGAACGUGCCCUGUAGUGGGGGAUAACUAGUCGAAAGAUUAGCUAAUACCGCAUACGACCUGAGGGUGAAAGUGGGGGACCGCAAGGCCUCAUGCUAUAGGAGCGGCCGAUGUCUGAUUAGCUAGUUGGUGGGGUAAAGGCCUACCAAGGCGACGAUCAGUAGCUGGUCUGAGAGGACGAUCAGCCACACUGGGACUGAGACACGGCCCAGACUCCUACGGGAGGCAGCAGUGGGGAAUUUUGGACAAUGGGCGAAAGCCUGAUCCAGCAAUGCCGCGUGUGUGAAGAAGGCCUUCGGGUUGUAAAGCACUUUUGUCCGGAAAGAAAUGGCUCCGGUUAAUACCUGGGGUCGAUGACGGUACCGGAAGAAUAAGGACCGGCUAACUACGUGCCAGCCGCCGCGGUAA